CUCUUGGGCUCCUGGAGCCUCAGAGAGCCAGCCGGGAGUGCAGGAGGGAGAACUUUCCUGUGGACGUCCUGUGUUCUCCAGACGCAGAGAACCCUCAUCAACCGAGGGGGAGGUCACUUCCGAAUCCACAGAUGGCGUGUGAGUGCAUGGCGAGCGCCUCCAGGACACACUUACUGUUCCCUUGCUCUGGCCAGACGCCAGCCGGACCCUGUGUGUGCGCGCCGUGCUGCUCUUUGCAGCUGCCUGCAAGGGGUUCCUGCGAAGACCAGCACCUUGGGGAAGAGCCUGCGGCUGAACUUGAACUCGCAGCUACCUGAGUCAGACCUGUGCUUUUUCACCUCUACGGAAGAUGUCAGAGCGUUUCCCUAGCAAUGUUUUAGAAGUUACUUCUGUCUGGAAAAAAAUGGAAAAAA
rnacentral:lncRNA from 1 species